AUUUAUUUAUUUUACUUGUGAGUUGUGGCUGCCCUUCCCCUCGUGUUUAUUUAGUUAUUUUCUUUUUCUUGAAUGCUUGAAUGUGAGGGAAAAACCCUUUUUAAACUCUCCUUGUCUUUUCCCUCCCUUUCAGAAGCUGAGCACGACGGUGGCGGCAUCGGUGUCCCUGGGUGGUGGGUCUCCCUCCCGUGUGAUGUGCUGCGCACCCCUUUUUGUUUGAGUGUGUUCACCUUUAUUUUCAGCGAGUGAGAGUGUCCACGUGUGUCUGGGGUGAUCCUUCCGAGGCCUUCAUUCCCUCUUCUACCCGCGUCCCACCGAGUCGGCCGCCUGCACUCCAAUCUACUGGCUGACCUCCUGAACAGAGCUUGAACACUCGUGGAACGCCAGGCGGAAGACGGAAGCAAUCUUUUGAAGCUGAGCACGACGGUGGCGGCAUCGGUGUCCCUGGGUGGUGGGUCUCCCUCCCGUGUGAUGUGCUGCGCACCCCUUUUUGUUUGAGUGUGUUCACCUUUAUUUUCAGCGAGUGAGAGUGUCCACGUGUGUCUGGGGUGAUCCUUCCGAGGCCUUCAUUCCCUCUUCUACCCGCGUCCCACCGAGUCGGCCGCCUGCACUCCAAUCUACUGGCUGACCUCCUGAACAGAGCUUGAACACUCGUGGAACGCCAGGCGGAAGACGGAAGCAAUCUUUUGAAGCUGAGCACGACGGUGGCGGCAUCGGUGUCCCUGGGUGGUGGGUCUCCCUCCCGUGUGAUGUGCUGCGCACCCCUUUUUGUUUGAGUGUGUUCACCUUUAUUUUCAGCGAGUGAGAGUGUCCACGUGUGUCUGGGGUGAUCCUUCCGAGGCCUUCAUUCCCUCUUCUACCCGCGUCCCACCGAGUCGGCCGCCUGCACUCCAAUCUACUGGCUGACCUCCUGAACAGAGCUUGAACACUCGUGGAACGCCAGGCGGAAGACGGAAGCAAUCUUUUGAAGCUGAGCACGACGGUGGCGGCAUCGGUGUCCCUGGGUGGUGGGUCUCCCUCCCGUGUGAUGUGCUGCGCACCCCUUUUUGUUUGAGUGUGUUCACCUUUAUUUUCAGCGAGUGAGAGUGUCCACGUGUGUCUGGGGUGAUCCUUCCGAGGCCUUCAUUCCCUCUUCUACCCGCGUC